rnacentral:lncRNA from 1 species
GCCUUUAGCCAAUUUGGCUAGAUUGGAUGUGCUCUCCACUUUGCACCCAAAUUCAAAUCCUCUUCUCCGUAGUUUAUAUUAGAUUAAAGUAUAGAAUAUCGUUUCUGAGACAAAGAAAGAAAGUUGAUAGUUGGUACCUAUUAUUCGAUUAACCAAUGUCAACACAGAAAGAAAGCACAACUUUCUGCAUCUGCAGUAUACUAAUAUAAGAUGAGUGAAUCAACCAACUGGCAAUAGGAUUGAGGUCACACUUAGCCCUGAAAUGGCAUUUCAUCUUUCUCUCUUUCUUUUUGUUGGACUUUCUUUCUUUUCUAUAAUCUUUGAACUGUUAUACUUAACCUUUUAUUUUUUUUAUAAAAAGAACUUGGUGAACAAAAGAGCCGGAGGCAAGAUUUUAGUUCACAUGGGGCACCCUCCAGUUAUGUUCAUAAAACAAAUUUCAAGCUUGCACGAUAUAUACAGUAAGAUUCCAAAUAAUAUGAGGAAGGAUAGGCUGGUUAAUUCAAAUUAGUCAAUGGAAAAAAGAAACAAUAUGCAAAAAAUGAUGAUAACAAUAAAAUUUCCAAAAGAGAGAAAACAUAAAAAAUCCACAAGAAGAUUGAACACCAACUUGAGGAGGCUUUGGGCAAUAUUUAAGUGAGUGAAAUCAUACUUCACUCUAAUCGCACCUAACUCUUUUCGGUCUCAUCCCCUUAAAAGUCAAGAGGCUGGGUUUAUGUGAAGCAAAAUGUUCCUUGUCAGGAUCGUUACCGACCUCGAUCCUUGUAAUUAUCUCCCUUUCCAUAUCAUAAGUAAGAAAACUUUUCACUCCCUGCAACUCAAGUUUACCAUAAAUAACUCUGACUGGCGCCCAAAUUUGAUUCUUCAAACUUGGAUUGUCCUUUAAAAAUUUAUAGGGAACUACUAUCUUAUUUUCACUCCAUUUAUGGUCCUUGAAGUCUUCCAGCACCAAUAUAUUAAGGGCUUCCUCUACAAUCUCACCAACAGCCAAAUGGUGGUUCCAACUGAACACAAAAACUUUUUCCAAG